rnacentral:lncRNA from 1 species
GGAGUAGACACAUUUUAUCAGGAAUUUCUGCUCUAUGAAUACCUGUGGAUAUAUGUUUAUUUUCUAAGGCUGCACGUCAGAACAAGAUAAUCUGCACUGUUCCCUCAUGACUGAUAGAAGAGGUCACAAAGGCAAGUCUACCUCUGUAUCAGAGACAUGAGGUCAGGGACAGGGCCUCAACUUUGUACCCCAAAUAAAGCUAAAGCUUUAAGGUAAACCUGAUGGACUUGGGAGCUUUCCUGAACCUACUCAAGCUAUAACCAGUAAGAUGCAGCACUGUGGAGCCUUGGGUCUGUCUCCAUGGGGGAAAGUCCAGAGGACUGAGGCUGGGAAAUCUCAAAUAUAUAUGGAGAGAAGGCUUGUUGACCUGCAGAGCCUUUUUGUGGUCCAUGAAGAUGGAUUCCUUGAGCCUGAGUACUCAUACAUCAUGUUAAUAAUUGUAUAUAAUUGCAUAUACAUUGCUCAGUAUUUUAUAUCAGCAUUUUAUAUCACUACACAAGUCCAGUGUCAUCUACUGUGCAGCCUAGGUGAGCCCUGGCAGUAAUUAAAGUAUUUUAAACCAUCUGGUUAAUUGCAAAAAAAAAAAUACACUGAUGAGCUUGCACUGUUUGAAUGAUCUUCAGGAAACUAUUAGGCUAAAGCAAUUCCCUCUUGGCAAGGUUUAGCUAAUUCACAAUGUUUGUUCUGUGAAUUACAGUUGGUCUUUACACCAUUUGUUAGUCUUGUAGCAGAGCCCUGCUUGCUGCUACUGAGCCAGAGAUUCCUCCUGUUCUCCUUUGCUCUGCUUCCUCAUCUCUGCCUGUCAAGCUCUUCAUUGAAGUGGAGACUUUGGGAGCAGAGCAUGAGAGAAGCUGGGCAGUGAAAUCCAGCCCUCUCCCUUCCCAGCCGUGCUUGGAGCCUUGACCCAGAGAGGAAGAAUCCCUGUGCCAGCUGCUGCCUGCUCACUCUGGCUCUGUGCCAAGCAUCCCUCACUGCUUGCUCGGGCACCUCAGUCUCUUCUGCCGGGGAGAGCAGGGCGGUGCUGGGGCAGGGUAUCCGAGCUGCACUUCCAGCUUCCUCGAGCAGCUCCUCAGCUGGAGCCUCUGCUCAGCCCUGGCUGAGUCCCUGGAGCAGAGCACGGCAUUUCCACCUGCUCUCAGCGGCGGCAGCAGGGAAUGGAGCCAUGCUGCAAGGUCGCCCUCCCAGAGAAACAGGUGGGGCUCCCAGGCCCAGGUGCCUCAGGAGCCGUUCAGAAGGGGUGGGUCAACAGAAACAGUGGUCUGACAUCGUCACCUUGGGGAACUUGCCCUUAGGGCUGCUGUGAAGGCUCGGCAUAUGGCAUGGCAUGGCAUGGCACGGCAUGGCACGGCACCUGCACGUCCCAGCUCCUCUGAAAUGGGGAGUCCCCAGCUGCCUGCAGCUCUGGGCUCAGCAGGCACGGGAGACAGUGUUGGCCAUUCCUGCUGCACGCCUGGCUCAAUCACCCCUCUGCCUCCCAGCCAGGAAAAAGGCACUGGAGACACAGGAGAGAAAGCUACUGAAGAAAUAGGUAAGAACCGUAGGCUAGCAGGCCUGCUUCAAUUUUCAUUAAAAGUAAAUUAAAGUAAUCCUUUCAUAAGCAUAGGAGUCAACCCGUCCUGAAGAUUGUUUGAGUAUUCCAUCCCUGCCACGUGGGCAAGAGUCAGUGGGUAGUUUGUCCUGAGAUCAAGCCCCACCCUUUCUAUUCAGAAAUCCCCCUUACUGUUUAAUUAAACUGCCUGAAUGUCUCCCAAAAGCCACCAUGUAAGUAUCUUAUAGUCUGGAUUACAAAUAUUAGGAUAGUAUGAGGUAAAACCAUUAGAUUACCUCAGCAUAAACUGAAAUAAAAUUGUAAUGUUUAUACA